rnacentral:tRNA from 1 species
GUCUUCGUGGUGUAGAGGUCAGAACGCUCGACGCGUAAUCGAGAGGACCGUGGUUCGAGUCCCGGCGAGGCCA